UUUUUUUUUUGCCCAAAAAAAACUCAAACAAAAAUUGUGUCUGUUCCUAGACUUAGGCUGGAAUUAAACACCAUUAAUGUGUGUCGUUAUUCACAGCAUGCCCUGGGAAUUUUAGGACAGCUCAGGGCAUGCUGGGUGUUGUAGUUUUGCAACAGGUGGACAGCCACAGGGGAUCACUGAUGCAGUAUGUCAAUCUAGGGCCAUGGUGUCUGAUCUUGAACUGGCAGCCGGAGCCACGACCCCUUUAAAUCAAUGGCUGCCGGGACGUCUGACGAGUGACAUCCUUCGCUCCAGACCGCAACGUCAGGGACGUCACUCAUCUAGGGUUGCCACCCUGCCGGUAUUUUACCGGCACAGCCGGUAUUUUCAUUCAGAUUCCGGGCUGUGCCGGUGAGUUUGGAUGAAAAAUACCGGCCAUGCAAUGGCCGGUAUUUUUCAUUCACUCUCAUCACACUAACCUGGAAAAAAAAAAAAACUCCUGUUCUGUUCGGUGCCGACACCGCUGAGCGGGAGUGCGAACCGCACGCCCGCACCAUGCCGCUCAGCACAGCACCCUCUCUGACUCUGAGGCUGUCCCUGUCUCCCAGUCCCAGUCUAAAACUUUACCUAUGCAAUGCUGUGCGGCCGGAUCUGCGGAGGGACGUUGCGGAAGUGACAUCACUCCGCAGACCCGCGCUGGACAUCACGUCACUCGCCGAGACUGAGAGGAGACUGGAGAGGUGCUGCGGUAGUAGAUGUUAAGAGAUCCACAUGGCGGUCUUAUCCGGACGGAGAAGAAAAGGAAAGAGGACGCCGCUGAUCAGAAAAUACGUAAUUCCAAUCAGAGAGCAGCACUGCUCAAAUAGAACUCCCAGGAGGUAACAGCGUGUCACACAUGUGAUGUCAUAACCAUUGUCCACCAGAGAGCAGCACUGAGCAGAUAUAACACUGCUCCUGCUCAUUCUCCAUCAGUGAGGGCCGGUGCUGGACACUGUAGGGACGCGGGUAUGUGAAGUCAAAAACAUGACUGUGACUGAUGCAUUAUUUCCAGCAUGUGGAGUAGCAUUUCCGGACUUAAAGCAAGAAGUUGGAUGAUGGCCUAGAUUCCGGACUUACAGCAAGACGUUGGAUGAAGGCCUAGAUUUCCGGACCUACAGCAAGAAGUUGGAUGAAGGCACAGCCCCUCGAAUCACGAACAUACACAGACACAUUGGCCCAAAUUCUAGAGGUAACCUCCUUUAGUAUGCCCAGAGGAAGGGCAAUACAGUAGCCAUGGAUUCCCUACAGGUUUCCUCCCCUCUGGAGGUUUUUCCUGUCCUGAGUUAGUUACUGUACGCUCUUUAUGAGUGAUGGGAGGUUACAAAAAAUCCCUACACAAACACUUUAAUAAAUAAUAAAUAAAGUUCCCCUUUUUUUAAACUGUUCUUUAACUUGUUCGACUCAU